AUAUUUUUAUUUAAUGAGUUUAUUCAGUGAUUAAGGUAAAUAUAUCACCAUCUUUCGGCUGAGAUUGCAAUUAAUAAUUCAAAUUUCUUUUUGUAUUUUUUAGUGGAAUUAAUUCGUUAAAAUGCUGCCCUGGGUAUCUGAUGCCUUGAUCAGAUUUAUUAAUGAAUAAAUUGAAUGAGCUUGGCAUCUCGUUUGAUGGGCAAAUAUUGAAUUUUACAGGAAUUGCGACACAGUUUGCUUAUGGUGGAUUCCAUAUGGCUUACUGUUACUUUUAUGCCUGUUUACACUGUUUUUAACAUCCAUUUUACCUGAGGAAAAGAUUUAUAUUUGCGCAAGUAUCAAUUUUUAAUAUUUUUGAAUCAAUCAAUUUAAUUAUUAUUUUUAUUAAUUUAAUGAUUUUGUCAUGUAUCUAUUGCAAUACUUGGUAGCAAUAUUUUGAACUCAAAUUUUGAUGGAUGUAAAUAUUUAGAAUCAAUAUCACAUGUCAAUAAAUUUUGUGAAUUUCAAUAUACGUACGUCUUUGAUCAAUUGAUAAACAAUUGAUAAACUUACUUAAACUUCAUGUUAACCACUUCUAUCAUUUAAACCCAUAAAUUAAGAUAAAGAAAAAAGGAAGAGAAAAAAAAAUCAUAAUCAUUGGCAAAACUGCCGCCUUCGACGGUAACAUUUAUAGAAAGCGGUUGAAUUCGCAUGUCACGACAGAAGGGACGCUCCCCUCGAUCGAAGGGAAAUACUAUUUUCAAGCUAAUCUGGACAUGAAAAUUGCGAGUUUACGAAAGCAAACAUAGAAAUUAAAAUUGGUCUCAGAAGCCGAAUCCAAGCUUUAUCCUUUUCUUGCAAGCUCUCGUAUUCGUGCUUCGGCAUGAAUGCUUGUCGAAGCGCAUUAUCGAGUAUCGCCAUUUUUCCACUGCGUGUAUAUAUGUGCGUGAUUAUAAACCAUGGAUUUUCUGAAAGUUAGGGUUUGGGGAUUGAAAAAUUUUGAAGUUGAGGAUUGGUUGAUAACGAGUUUAAAUUGUUAAUUUACAGAUUUUGAGCUUCAAUCUUCACUUUCAUUGAAGUAGUUUUUUAACUUUCAGUAUAUUUUUUUUGUUUCAAUCUGCCAUCUUGGCCCAAAAAGAAUAUCGUUUUGCUCCAUCAAUAUUCAUAGCCCACCCUUCUUAAAUUUAGGUCACUCACUGUAUUAUAGUUCGACUUACAAAUGGGUUAUUUAAUUUUUUUUUUUUACGGUCAACUCAUUGAACUUAUAUUUACUAACAAAAAUUUAUAAUUCUGUUAAGAUUGUUGAAUUUGGACGGAAUUUGACACAUAAGCUGAUGACGUAUAAAAAAUUUCUGAUGUGGCAUAUAUUAGUCCUAUGAUAUAAAUUAAAAAAGUUAGUAAAAAAAAUAAGAAAAUAAAUGAAAAAUAUAUUCAAUUAUUUUGUAAUUAAUAUCAAAUGAAUUUAUAUUUAAUUUUUUACAAAUAUAAUAAUAUAAAUUAGAAAAAUUUAUCAAAAACUAAGAAAAUAAAUGAAAUAUAUAUUUAAUUAUUUUGUAAUUAAUAUCAAUUGAAUUUUUAUUUAAUUCUUUACAAAUGACAUGAUUUUUUUAUUUAAUUCUUUCAAAUGACAUGAUUUUUAUUUUUAUUUUAUGUCAGACCGAGUCACAGACGAGUCAAGUGGAGUCAUUUACUCAUUGAUUAUAUGACAGCCUGAUUAGAUGAUAAGAUGAGGGAUUCAUACCUGGGUGGAUACAAGAAGUUGAUAAGUAACAUGAAAUUUCUUGAGACGCUUCAAUGCAUCGAGCCAUCGAUCUACCUCCGGUAACGACUCUGCAUUGCCAUUGGCAGCGGCAUCAGUCGCUUUCUUCUCCGCUUCGAACAGCUCAAUUAGCGGCAUCAGCCCCAAAAGAUUUUGUUGAUAAAAAACCAAUAGAUUGUGGGCUUUCUUUGUUCGAUUAGUAGGGGCUACGAAUUUUGUAUGUUCUGAAAUUGGGUUAUGAUCUGGAGAGGAGAAUAUGCUCGGGGCCUCAGGUUUGGAGUUUCAGAUCUUGAUGGAUGCAUGUGUUUGGGGUUUUUGGAUGAUGGAUCUGUUCGUCGGAAUCUGGGUUCAGAUAUGGGUCCUUAUUUCCGGUGGUCUCCUUUCCUUCGCGGAUGGUGUUGGUUUCCUGAACAGUAUUUCAUGUUAUGUUAUUCCGUUAUUCUAUCAUAAUCCAGUUUUAGGAUCUAUGUUUACUGUCGAUGAUGGUCCGAUUUUGAUCUUUUUAGAUGGUUCAGUUCUGGGCUGUUGAUAUGUUGAUUUCUUUCUAUCCUAGCUCGGUUUUUCAUUUCGCUUUCUUGACUGGGAUUUGAUUAUGUAAAGCAUGGCCAGAUUUGGGGAUAAUGUUUGAUUUAACUUUAUGUAUGCUUAUUAUUGUUCUCUGAUUUUGGCUGUGUAUGUCGGAGAUCUUGCCGUUAUCAUGGUGAUCUCGGUUGUUGCUUGUGGUUGUUCAUCACUGAUUCGUCACUUGUCUCGUCUGUGACUCGGUGUCUGACAUAAAAUAAAAAUAAAAAUCAUGUCAUUUGAGAGAAUUAAAUUAAAAAAUCGUCUCAUUUAUAAAGAAUUUAAUAAAAAUUCAUUUGAUACUAAU
rnacentral:lncRNA from 1 species